GACGAACGCUGGCGGCGUGCUUAACACAUGCAAGUCGAGCGGUAAGGCCCUUUCGGGGGUACACGAGCGGCGAACGGGUGAGUAACACGUGGGUGACCUGCCCUUAGCUCUGGGAUAAGCCUGGGAAACUGGGUCUAAUACCGGAUAUGACUCCAUAACGCAUGUUGCGGGGUGGAAAGCCUUGUGCGGCUAGGGAUGGGCCCGCGGCCUAUCAGCUUGUUGGUGGGGUGAUGGCCUACCAAGGCGACGACGGGUAGCCGGCCUGAGAGGGCGACCGGCCACACUGGGACUGAGACACGGCCCAGACUCCUACGGGAGGCAGCAGUGGGGAAUCUUGCGCAAUGGGCGAAAGCCUGACGCAGCGACGCCGCGUGGGGAUGACGGCCU
rnacentral:rRNA from 1 species